GUAGUCUCGCACAGAUGCAUAUCAAUAAGCGGAGGAAAAGAAACUAACAAGGAUUCCCCUAGUAACGGCGAGUGAAGCGGGAAGAGCUCAAAUUUGAAAUCUUAAAGGGUUUCCCUUUACGAAUUGUAGUUUAAAGAAGUGUUUUCUGUUGAGGUUUUGGUAAAAGUUCUUUGGAAUAGGACAUCAUAGAGGGUGAGAAUCCCGUAUUUGACCUUUACUUUCAACUUUGUGAUACACUUUCAAAGAGUCGGAUUGUUUGGGAAUGCAGUCCAAAAUGGGUGGUAAAUUUCAUCUAAAGCUAAAUAUUGGCGAGAGACCGAUAGCGAACAAGUACCGUGAGGGAAAGAUGAAAAGAACUUUGAAAAGAGAGUUAAACAGUACGUGAGAUUGUCAAAAGGGAAGCGUUUGACACCAGUGUUGUUUUUCUGAAAAUCAAUUAAAGAACUGUUUAUGCUAAGUUGUUUAGACUUUAUCAGCUAUCUGUUUAGUUUUGAGCUUUUCUUUAAUGCACUUUUCAGUUAACAAGUCAACAUCAAUUUCUUUUGCUGUAAAAAAGCUUGAGGAAGGUGGCUUGAACUCGUCUUAAGUGUUUAUAGCCUCUUGCCUAUGCAGUCGGAGAGAUUGAGGUCUGCAGCGUAGAUCCUUCGGGGCUAAAUGCAUUUGUGCUAAGUUAUAGCAUUUUAUAGACAACUUGUUGACUAUGAUUUGUCUUGUAGCUUACUCGCUUAUGUUAUUUUACCUACGCUUAGGAUGUUGAUCUGUAGUGCGUGCGC
rnacentral:rRNA from 1 species